rnacentral:rRNA from 1 species
UACGGAGGGUGCAAGCGUUAUCCGGAUUCACUGGGUUUAAAGGGUGCGUAGGUGGGUUAUUAAGUCAGUGGUGAAAUCCCGAAGCUUAACUUCGGCACUGCCAUUGAUACUAUUAAUCUUGAAUAUUGUGGAGGUAAACGGAAUAUGUCAUGUAGCGGUGAAAUGCUUAGAUAUGACAUAGAACACCAAUUGCGAAGGCAGUUUGCUACACAAAUAUUGACACUGAGGCACGAAAGCGUGGGGAUCAAACAGG